UGUGUGUGUGUGGGGUGGGGUGUACCGUGUGCAGUCAUUGAAAAUGAGUUAUUUUUUAUGUUCUUCACAGAAAACGAGCCGAGGCCAAUGAGUUUGAGUUAGAAGAGAUAA